CUUAAACUUUGUAAAAAGGUUUACGUUCGUGGACCAGCGGUGCCUUCUUUG
rnacentral:rRNA from 1 species